rnacentral:rRNA from 1 species
UACGGGGGGGGCAAGCGUUGUUCGGAAUUACUGGGCGUAAAGGGCUCGUAGGCGGCCAACUAAGUCAGACGUGAAAUCCCUCGGCUUAACCGGGGAACUGCGUCUGAUACUGGAUGGCUUGAGUUUGGGAGAGGGAUGCGGAAUUCCUGGUGUAGCGGUGAAAUGCGCAGAUAUCAGGAAGAACACCCGUGGCGAAGGCGGCUCUCUGGUACGUGACUGACGCUGAGACGCGAAAGCGUGGGGAGCAAACAGG